UACGAAGGGGGCUAGCGUUGCUCGGAAUUACUGGGCGUAAAGGGCGCGUAGGCGGAUAUCUAAGUUGGGGGUGAAAUCCCGGGGCUCAACCUCGGAAUUGCCUUCAAAACUGGAUAUCUUGAGUUCGGGAGAGGUGAGUGGAACUCCGAGUGUAGAGGUGAAAUUCGUAGAUAUCAGGAAGAACACCUAUGGCGAAGGCAGCUCUCUGGGACGGUACUGACGCUGAGACGCGAAAGCGUGGGGAGCGAACAGG
rnacentral:rRNA from 1 species